rnacentral:lncRNA from 1 species
GUUUAUAAUCACCAAAGGAUAGCUGCAGGUGCUGCCCCCUCCCCUUGUAAUGAGCUGUUAUUGAUGCUAUAAUGAUGAUAUUAAACUAUUAUAACCACCAAUGCCUUAACAGGGGUGUGAUCCAGGUGUGUGGUGGUGUGUGUGUGUUCAUUUGUGUGUGUGUGUGUGUUUUGGGGGAGAAAGUGUCAGAAAAGAGAGAUCAUAGAGGAAAUUCAUCAAGAUCAUCAAGAUUCCUGAAUGAGGAACUGGAGAGAUGGUCUCCUAAAGCUCUGUGAAGUGGUCCUUGACAUUUAUAUGAAAGCUGCAGGAGGGAAUUAAAAGGGCGGUCUACAGUCCCAGAUCAACUCUCAGAAGAAAGAGCUAAGAACUCACUGCUUCCCGGGAAGAGAUAGUGGUGUCAAGUGGGGAGUUAAAGAAAAUGAAAUCGUACUCAGGUUGGUAGAGAACCCUCAUCUGAAAGUACAAGGUUUAUGAUCGAAGAGCUUGGUCUUAAAGCUCUUGGCUUUUACAAACCUAAAAUUAUUAAAAGAGCCAUGGUACAAGAAUGAAAAUUUAAGAGACCGAAAAACAUAUUUUUAUUAUAUUUGUUUUUAUUUUACAUAAUAUAUUUUGAUCAUAUUCUCUCACUUCCCUACUCUUCCCCGAUCACCAUUAUCUUAUUACUUACCAAAUUCUAUGUUAUUGCUCUCUUUCUUUAAAAAGCAAAACAACAACAGUGGGUUUAUCAGUCCCUGCACAUGUGAACACAAUGACUCCACUUUCCCAGGAAUUCAUCAACAUCCAAAUAGCUUCCCAGGUCAUGGGAGACGGUUCUCAUGUCCGUGAAGAAUUGUCAACAGGUAUAGUGCAGUGGAGGCCCAACUUAAGCAACUACUGCUGCUAUGAGACUAAGAUUAUAAUUUUAACAGUUGUGUUAUUCACAUAAGAG